rnacentral:rRNA from 1 species
UGGGGAAUAUUGCACAAUGGGGAAGACCCUGAUGCAGCGACGCCGCGUGAGUGAAGAAGUAUUUCGGUAUGUAAAGCUCUAUCAGCAGGGAAGAUAAUGACGGUACCUGACUAAGAAGCCCCGGCUAACUACGUGCCAGCAGCCGCGGUAAUACGUAGGGGGCAAGCGUUAUCCGGAUUUACUGGGUGUAAAGGGAGCGUAGGUGGCAGGGCAAGUCAGAUGUGAAAACCCGGGGCUCAACCCGGCAGUUGCAUUUGAAACUGCCCGGCUGGAGUGCAGGAGAGGUAAGUGGAAUUCCUAGUGUAGCGGUGAAAUGCAUAGAUAUUAGGAGGAACACCAGUGGCGAAGGCGGCUUACUGGACUGUAACUGACACUGAGGCUCGAAAGCGUGGGGAGCAAACAGGAUUAGAUACC